rnacentral:lncRNA from 1 species
GUUUUUUCAAAAUAGGGUUUCCUCCAGAUACAGACCCUGGAGUGGGACUGCCAGAUCAUAGGGUAGCCCUAUUUUUAGAUUAAAAAAUUUUCCAGAUUGUUCUCUAUGGUGGCUGUUAGCAGUUUACAUCCCCGCCAACAGUGUAGGACAGCUUCGUCUUCUCCUGUCCCCCUUACCAGAAUUUAUUUUUCGUAGGUGUGGACGUCCUUGCGCCCUGACUUUCUAGAUGCUGGUCUCUUCAAAGGGUUUUCCGUCACAAGCUCCGUGGCAGCACGUCAUAGCCCCGGGAGCGCUCUGACAUCCCGAAGUAGCUCUGGGCAAACUGAAGCCUUGGGUGAUGGCUGCCAGCGCGCUGGGGUCUUGUGUGGUGGGCUUGUGUUGGAGGUUCCCCUUUAGUUCCCCAGUGGGAACACAGAGGAGGGCUUCAUAUUACUGGGAGCAGACGGAGCGGUGCUUCACGGAGAAGGUGCUCCAGGCGGCGAAGGUCAAGUCCUCCUGGAGCAGCUCUUCGGAGGGGAGCUCCCCCAAUCGCAGCUGGCUCCUGGAGCGCAGUGCUGUGGCCGCCCCCAGCGCUGUGUGGGAUUCAGGGGUCCAGCAAUCCCAAGUGCCUGAGAGCCCGAGGAGGAGGAGGCUGUGUCCUGGGGCUCAUCCCGCCGCAGCAGCUCCUCCUCCUCCCAUCCGUCUGCCCCGGGAGUGGGUGGGGCCCCCUCUGAAGGAGGCCUGA